GAGGGACCUCAUUAAAAUUUGUUCAUAGUGAGGUGAUCUGUGGCUGAUUAUCUCCCUUACAUUGUUUGAUGGCGGGAUCCAUGGAGAUGUCCAGAAAAUGACCAACAUGCUGUUUGAAACUU